GCUUAGCCCUAAACUUUAAUAGUCAAAACAACAAGACUAUUCGCCAGAACACUACAAGCAACAGCUUAAAAUUCAAAGGACUUGGCGGUGCUUCACACCCACCUAGAGGAGCCUGUUCUAUAAUCGAUAAACCCCGAUCAACCUUACCACCUCUCGCUUAGCCUAUAUACCGCCAUCUUCAGCAAACCUCAACAAGAGAUAUAAAGUAAGCACAAAUGCCCACGCAAAAACGUUAGGUCAAGGUGUAGCUUAUGAGUUGGGAGAAAUGGGCUACAUUUUCUAUCCCAGAAAAUCAUACGACAACUCUUAUGAAACCUGAGAGUCCAAGGAGGAUUUAGUAGUAAACUAAGAACAGAGUGCUUAGUUGAAUCAGGCCAUGAAGCACGC
rnacentral:rRNA from 1 species